rnacentral:misc_RNA from 1 species
AAGUCGUAACAAGGUUUCCGUAGGUGAACCUGCGGAAGGAUCAUUAAUGAAAUUAUGACUGGGGUUGUAGCUGGCCCAUAAAACGGCAUGUGCACGCUCCUUUCACAAUCCACACACACCUGUGCACCUUCGCGGGGGUCCUCUUUCCUUUUGGGAAGAAGGCUCGCGUCCCUUUACACACCCUUUGUAUGUCUUAAGAAUGUCUACUCGAUGUAAUAAAACGCAUCUAAUACAACUUUCAACAACGGAUCUCUUGGCUCUC